rnacentral:misc_RNA from 1 species
GGAAGAUUUUCAAGGCGGAGUUUGAAUUUCCUUCAUGGUUUUCUUCAGAAGCCAAGGAAAUGGUAUCUAAGCUUCUGGUUGUUGAUCCUCAAAAGAGAGCUUCAAUGGUUCAGAUAAUGCAGAGUCCUUGGUUUCAAAAGGGCUUCACAAAGCCAGUUUCCUUCAUUGAGAAAGAUGAAUUCAACGAUGAAUUCUCUGAAUUGGCAAAUCCCAAGUUGUUGUCCUCUUCUCCUCCUUUUUACAAUGCCUUUGAGUUCAUUUCCUCAAUGUCCUCUGGUUUUGACUUGUCUAGUUUGUUUGAAAGCAAGAAGAAACAAGGCUCCAUUUUCACUUCGAAAUGCUCUGCUUCAGCCAUUAUAGCCAAGCUUCAGUCUCUGGCCGUGAAGCUCAACUUCAAGGCUACUAAUCUGAAGGAGUUCAAGGUGAGGCUGCAGGCCAAGGAGGAAGGGAGGAAAGGGAAGUUGACGGUGACCGCAGAGGUUUACGAGGCGGCUCCGGAGCUGGCAGUGGUUGAGUUCUCAAAGUCGGCCGGCGACACUUUGGAGUACAAUAACUUCUGUGAGAAGGAUGUGAGGCCUGCAUUGAAAGACAUAGUUUGGAGCUGGCAAGGAGAGAGUGAGUGCCUAUAACAGUGGCUUCUUUGCAAAAUGACCAUUGAGGGAGAAAAAUAAUCCAUUUUUAUGCAUUAUGAACAUAGGUUUCUCUUUGAAGUUCCCUUUUUGAUGUGUUUGGGAGGAGGGAAGAAUGUAUAGAAUAGCAUUGAAUAGUUUUGGUUUAGAUUAGAAGACUGGGAGUUGAUAGCUAUGUGUUUGGAAUUGGUCAACUUUGUGAAUACUUUAUAGGAUUUGCUUGUAAAAUACAUGGCUUUGUUGAAGAGUGAUCAGUUUAUUAGUCUUGAUAAAUUUCAUCUAACAAAUUUG